UCGGUGGUCGGUGAGCAGUAGAUGGGCCGGUUGCUCCAGGUAGAAGUCAGACCCACCGUGUGGUCACUGUGCAUGUGGGACAGGAAAAACAGCCGUGUGCCUGGACACUUCCGCACCUGCCAGAAGUCCACGGCCAGCGGGGUGUGCGGGAUGACUUUCCCGUUGACUGACAUUGUCUACAGUUUGCUGGAUAUGCAACAACUACCAGUGCAACAGCUGUCGUCCUGAUCUCUGAACCACAUCGCCACCUGGAGGAGUAACCGUGGUAGACCCAUAGGUGAACUCCGUUGCCGUACAAAAACAUCUAAAUGUAGAAGAAGAUGGCGCCAAGAGAGAGGAAGCAGUUUCGAUUUUUGUUGAAAUAGAAAAUGUGUCCAUUGACAUUUAUUUAUAAAUAUCCCAC